UUUAGCUAGCUUGAAUGCAAAGAGAUUUUGCUUCACGAAUUAUCUCAAAGUGUGUACACCUCUUCUGUUGGUUCUAGUAUUUUUUAUCCUAUUAAGGACAUUGACGCCGUAGCCGAGCGACCUUACAUUCCUCAAACUAGACGUGGAUCAUUUCUGGCGAAAGAAAAAAAAACUCGGACAGGAUGCACCUGUCUCUAAGAAGAAGGGAAAGAAAUCUGCAGCUAAAUAAUAAGGUGCACAGUUGUACCAGUUGUCUACUGGAAAUUGCCUGUUGAAACCUGAACAGGACAUCAAAUUGAAUUCUGGAUUCAUGUCUAAUGUAUGCAUUACUAACAUGCCAAUAACCUAAUGCAUUUCCGAAUACGCUUUGACGAAAUCACCACAUAUGACAUCGUCGCCCAAUAACCUGCAGACCUGCAAAUGUGCAUUUUAUUAUUUUUUUACAGAUGUUUGCUACUCUUCUUUUAAUAAUCGCGUUCCUAUAAAGUGCAAAGACUCCCUUUGUUAUAUAAUCUAACAUAUGAUAACUUUACUCAUAUAUUUUAUAGAUAAUUCCCGCCUUGAUAUUUAUGUUUUGUAAAUAUUAUGGUCACUUCAUAGAAUUGUUUCGACUAUUUCAACUUCCAUGUUUUUUGGAAAAGUAGAAAUUUUGAUUUUGUUCUUAUUUUCGUUUAGUUCACACGCUUUAGCUAUUAUAGAAAUUGUAAACUAAAUGAGAAGUGAAAUCUGAGAUCAAAGUAUUUUAUUAGAACAAAAAAGUUAAAUUCUUCAAGUUGAAAAAUAUAUAUUGCAAAACUUUAAUAUAUUAAAAGUAUUAUGUUGUGUGA